CACUUUAUUUUCUAUCCCACUCAAUAGUUAUGUUCAAUUGUGAGUUAGGACUUGUGAAUUCGCAGUUAAGGAACAGUAUAUGUUUUUAUUUGGGAACAUAAAUAUCAUAAAAAUAUUUCAAUGCUAUUGUGAAAAAAAGUUCUUCAACCGAGAAUAGCAUACUUCUAUACAAAUUGAAAAUUGCCAGUUAUAUAUGGUGUCAUGAUUUCUGUAUUGCCGCCAUUUGCAUGUUUAAGGGAAUAGAUAUGCUGAAAAUUAAGGGGGUAAACUGACUAAACUGUUCUUUUUCCUAUUAACAUUCUAAAGAAGCAAGGAGGUGUUAUUGGAAAAAAAUAGUAAGAGGCAAUGAAAUGCAUCUAAUUCCUGACCCAUCCUCUUUCUCCUCUGCCUGUGUCAUUGUUUCCUUGCACUUCACUUCCCUCCAUCACAGCAAAUGUCAACCGAGAUAUUUUCUUCAUUGUUUGCUCUUUCUAAAUUGUCAGUGAAGCUAUUUGUGCAGUCAUUUUGUGCAUCGUGUUUUAGUGGCAGUAAUGAAGUCAUUGAUAGUUUGUGUUAAGUAGAGUGUAUGCAUUCGUUUAUUCAACCUAAAGAUUUGAGACCGAGAUUAGAAGGUCGAUCGCAUUUUCUUUGUCGCAAGCAAUGAGCAUUACCCAUCAGUCUUCCUCAUUGCGGCAAGAGUUGCUGAGUUGCUGGCUAAGGUGGACGAACAAUCUCAGUCCAGACAUUAAACGUGGCCCUUUUACUCCUGAGGAGGAGAAGCUUGUCAUUAAGCUUCAUGGAAUAGAUCUUUUUGAAGCAUUUAUGGGGAGAUCAGUCUGCUUGAUUGAGAAAGUGGAAUUAACUUUGAAUUGAUCUUUAUCUUUGUACUUGGUAUUGAGAAGGCAAUAUAGCGUGUGCUUGAUAUUGAGAAGGCAAUAUAUUGAAGGAAAAAGGCUUUGUCUAUAUUAUACUUGUGAACUGAAAUUUGUGUACCUUGCUAAGCUUGGUGAUAAACAGCCGAUAUGUGGCUCCAUCUUAUUGUAAGAAUAUCGCGAUAUUGCAAGGUUGCUUCCAUGGAGCACCAUCAUUUCCUUUUGGCUGUGAUGAA